rnacentral:rRNA from 1 species
UACAGAGGGUGCAAGCGUUAAUCGGAAUUACUGGGCGUAAAGCGUGCGUAGACGGUUGCGUAAGUCAGAUGUGAAAGCCCCGGGCUCAACCUGGGAAUUGCAUUUGAGACUGCGUAGCUAGGGUGCGGAAGAGGGAAGCGGAAUUUCCGGUGUAGCGGUGAAAUGCGUAGAUAUUGGAAAGAACACCGAUGGCGAAGGCACUCUACUGGGCUAUUACUGACACUCAGAGACGAAAGCUAGGGGAGCAAAUGGG